rnacentral:rRNA from 1 species
GAAGCGGGAACAGCUCAGAUUUGUAAUCUGGCCGUCUAUGGCGGUCCGAGUUGUAAUCUGUAGAAGUGUAUUCCGCGUCGGCCCCUGCCCAAGUCCGUUGGAAUUCGGCGCCAUGGAGGGUGAGAGCCCCGUUGGUGGCAGGGACUACCGAUGCUUUGCGUUGCGCUCUCUAAGAGUCGUGUUGUUUGGGAAUGCAGCACUAACGGGUGGUAAAUUCCAUCUAAAGCUAAAUAUCAGCGAGAGACCGAUAGCGAACAAGUACCGUGAGGGAAAGAUGAAAAGCACUUUGGAAAGAGAGUUAAACAGUACGUGAAAUUGUUGAAAGGGAAACGAUUGAAGUCAGUCAUGCCUUUGGGGAUUCAGCCUUUGGGUGUACUUUUUCCUUUGGCAGGUCAGCGUCGUUUUCGGGGGUCGGAUAAUGGGUCGGGGAACGUGGCUCGGUUUCGGCCGAGUGUUAUAGCCCCUUCCUGGAUACGGCUUCUGGGAUCGAGGACCGCGGCGCGCCGUAAGGCAGGGGGUUCGCUCCCUUCCGCGCCAAGGAUGCUGGCGUAAUGGCUUUAAACGACCCGUCUUGAAACACGGACCAAGGAGUCUAACAUGCGUGCGAGUGUUUGGGUGUCAAACCCGGACGCGUAGCGAAAGCGAAUGCAGGUGGGAUCCGAAAGGUGCACCAUCGACCGACCCUGAGCUAUUGCGACGGGUUCGAGUAAGAG